rnacentral:lncRNA from 1 species
CUCAGCGCCGCGCGCGCGCCGCCCCUCAGGGCUGCGGAGCCGCCGCCGAGGGACCCCCGCGGGCGGGCGCCCCCUCAGCCUCCCGGCUCCCUCUUCCCUCAGGGCGCUCCGAGUCCCUCAAGGAGCAGCGCCAGCACCUGCCGGGCUUCCCCGCUGCGGCGCCGGACGACGACCACGCCAGAGCCCGCCUGCCGCGCCGCACAGACCACCGAGCCCAGUGAUCCAGUCUUAUGCUUGGAGGGACUGUGACAGGUGUACAUGCCCAAAGGAAACACAGAAGGAGAAAAUCUACAGACUGAAACAGGGAGGACAGGGGGCAAAUUGUGGAAAUACUUCAUGCCUAGAAUGUUGCUGAGAAAUAGCUUGGAGCUAUCUGCCAUAUAAUGCACUGAAGACAUAUGUGAGCAGCAAGAAAGCAGCAUUUGUGCCAUGAGAAGUUAAUUGGUAAGUAAAGUAUCAUUUCUGAGCUGUGGGCUCCUGAAGCAAUUUCAGGUUUUGUACACAAAAGCUUCAUCAGAUGGAUGCUAUCUUCGAUGUGUGUCUUUGUAUGCAAAGGACAUUUACAUAUAGGAGUCUGUAGUUUUAUUGUAGUGCUGAUGUGAUGUGAAUACUCCUUUUUACAUACAGGGCAGAGCUCACAUGUGGCCCCAUUAUCAAGUUUCAUGUUAGGCAAGAAAUUUUUGCAUGCUCAGUCAUCUUAUUCUGGUGUUUUUUCUGGCUGCGUGGAUUCACAAAGGUGACCUUUCACUGAGUCCCUGACUGUGUGCCCAGGGGUUUGCCUAACAAGACUACCUGUCCCUACGAGCCUGACCUCUCUUAGAUCACCACAGCUAUGGAAUUACUAUCUGUGUGUUGUGAAAAUCUUUGAUUGGCACAGCUUUUGGAACAUGUAUCUGCACAUCUCACUGCAAAGAUCCCAUUAGUUGUCUGAGGCACUGCCUUCCAAGUCCAUGGCAAUCAAGAAGAGCACGAAAGUUAACUUGGAAAUUUUAUUAGGUUCAACCAAAGAUUUGGAGCAGGAUAAGCUGGUUUGGUUUUUGGGGAAUGCCCCUUGCUCCAUACAGUAAUUUCAGGAACAGAACUUUAAAAUUAAUUUAAUAGUGCAAGAGUUUCCAGCAUGUAGUUGUCCAGGUAAGAUGUAGGUCCAUGGUCAUUGUCUUUACUAUGUGAUGCUGUCACAUGUUUUUAGAUGGACUAAAGAAAAACCAAGCUUUUCUUUACAAGGAAAAACUUUGCAAGUUUUCGGUUUUCCUUCUUCUUUCUCAGAAUCUUUCCAGUCACAGUUGUUGAUAAUAUCUUGGUGUAAAUGAGAAAAAUAUCUUCAUCUGUUCAUGUUCUCCUUAAGAGGAAUGCUAUGAAAUAUGUGAAGCAUUAUCCAUGGAGUUUCUCCAUUCCUAUGCAAUUUCUCUUUUUAUUAUACUCUGUGAUAAUAAAUAGAUCCCUUUAGUAUAAGAUAAGGUAUCU